rnacentral:rRNA from 1 species
AGACCCGAAACCCGGUGAUCUAGCCAUGGGCAGGUUGAAGGUUGGGUAACACUAACUGGAGGACCGAACCGACUAAUGUUGAAAAAUUAGCGGAUGACCUGUGGCUGGGGGUGAAAGGCCAAUCAAACCGGGAGAUAGCUGGUUCUCCCCGAAAGCUAUUUAGGUAGCGCCUCGUGAAUUCAUCUCCGGGGGUAGAGCACUGUUUCGGCUAGGGGGCCAUCCCGGCUUACCAACCCGAUGCAAACUGCGAAUACCGGAGAAUGUUAUCACGGGAGACACACGGCGGGUGCUAACGUCCGUCGUGAAGAGGGAAACAACCCAGACCGCCAGCUAAGGUCCCAAAGUCAUGGUUAAGUGGGAAACGAUGUGGGAAGGCCCAGACAGCCAGGAUGUUGGCUUAGAAGCAGCCAUCAUUUAAAGAAAGCGUAAUAGCUCACUGGUCGAGUCGGCCUGCGCGGAAGAUGUAACGGGGCUAAACCAUGCACCGAAGCUGCGGCAGCGACACUCAGGUGUUGUUGGGUAGGGGAGCGUUCUGUAAGCCUGCGAAGGUGUGUCGUGAGGCAUGCUGGAGGUAUCAGAAGUGCGAAUGCUGACAUAAGUAACGAUAAAGCGGGUGAAAAGCCCGCUCGCCGGAAGACCAAGGGUUCCUGUCCAACGUUAAUCGGGGCAGGGUGAGUCGACCCCUAAGGCGAGGCCGAAAGGCGUAGUCGAUGGGAAACGGGUUAAUAUUCCCGUACUUGGUGUUACUGCGAAGGGGGGACGGAGAAGGCUAUGUUGGCCGGGCGACGGUUGUCCCGGUUUAAGCGUGUAGGUGUGUGUUCCAGGUAAAUCCGGUUCACUUUAACACUGAGGCGUGAUGACGAGGCACUACGGUGCUGAAGCAACAAAUGCCCUGCUUCCAGGAAAAGCCUCUAAGCAUCAGGUAACAUCAAAUCGUACCCCAAACCGACACAGGUGGUCAGGUAGAGAAUACCAAGGCGCUUGAGAGAACUCGGGUGAAGGAACUAGGCAAAAUGGUGCCGUAACUUCGGGAGAAGGCACGCUGACACGUAGGUGAAGUGAUUUACUCACGGAGCUGAAGUCAGUCGAAGAUACCAGCUGGCUGCAACUGUUUAUUAAAAACACAGCACUGUGCAAACACGAAAGUGGACGUAUACGGUGUGACGCCUGCCCGGUGCCGGAAGGUUAAUUGAUGGGGUCAGCGCAAGCGAAGCUCCUGAUCGAAGCCCCGGUAAACGGCGGCCGUAACUAUAACGGUCCUAAGGUAGCGAAAUUCCUUGUCGGGUAAGUUCCGACCUGCACGAAUGGCGUAAUGAUGGCCAGGCUGUCUCCACCCGAGACUCAGUGAAAUUGAACUCGCUGUGAAGAUGCAGUGUACCCGCGGCAAGACGGAAAGACCCCGUGAACCUUUACUAUAGCUUGACACUGAACAUUGAGCCUUGAUGUGUAGGAUAGGUGGGAGGCUUUGAAGUGUGG